AACUAUUUAAAAGCGCCUGAACUACAUGAGAUGUAGUUGACGAGGAGAGGGAGUAUCGAUGGAUCGGCGGAUGCCCUCCGGUUGUAGCAUGACAACCGUUAGACUUCUGGGAAAACAAGGAGGCAACUCUUUGCACAAAAACAGAAGUAAGCAUGCCU
rnacentral:ncRNA from 2 species